GACGAACGCUGGCGGCGUGCUUAAUACAUGCAAGUCGAACGCUGAAGCGCGGAGCUUGUUCUUCUCGGAUGAGUCGCGCACGGGUGAGUCACGCGUAGGUACCCUGCCUUGUAGUGGGGGAAAAUUAUGGGAAACGAUAGAUAAUACCGCAUAAGAAUGGACGACACAUGGGAGGUAUGUGAAAGGGGGAAUUGGUGGACUACAAGACGGAUCAGCGUUGUAUUAGUUGGUAGGUGAGGUAACGGGGCACUUAGGGGAGGACGCGUAGACGACGUGAGUGGGUGGUCAGCCGCACUGGGACUGUGACACGGCCCAGAGUCCUACGGGUGGCAGCAGUAGUGAUUCGUCAGCAAUGGGGGCAACCCUGUCCGAGCAACGCCGCGUGAGUGUGGAAGGAUUUCGGAUCGUGGAGCUCUGUUGUAGGUCAGGAACGAGUGUGAGAGUGGAAAGUAGACACUGUGACGGUAACUGGCCAAAAAGGAACGGCUAACUACGUG
rnacentral:rRNA from 1 species